UUAAGCGACUAAGCGUACACGGUGGAUGCCCUGGCAGUCAGAGGCGAUGAAGGACGUGCUAAUCUGCGAAAAGCGUCGGUAAGGUGAUAUGAACCGUUAUAGCCGGCGAUGUCCGAAUGGGGAAACCCAGUGCAAUUCGUUGCACUAUCGUUAACUGAAUACAUAGGUUAACGAGGCGAACCGGGGGAACUGAAACAUCUAAGUACCCCGAGGAAAAGAAAUCAACCGAGAUUCCCCCAGUAGCGGCGAGCGAACGGGGAGCAGCCCAGAGUCUGAAUCAGCUUGUGUGUUAGUGGAACGGUCUGGAAAGUCCGACGGUACAGGGUGAUAGUCCCGUACACCAAAAUGCACAGGUUGUGAACUCGAAGAGUAGGGCGGGACACGUGGUAUCCUGUCUGAAUAUGGGGGGACCAUCCUCCAAGGCUAAAUACUCCUGACUGACCGAUAGUGAACCAGUACCGUGAGGGAAAGGCGAAAAGAACCCCGGCGAGGGGAGUGAAAAAGAACCUGAAACCGUGUACGUACAAGCAGUGGGAGCACCUUCGGGUGUGACUGCGUACCUUUUGUAUAAUGGGUCAGCGACUUAUAUUCUGUAGCAAGGUUAACCGUAUAGGGGAGCCGCAGGGAAACCGAGUCUUAACUGGGCGUUAAGUUGCAGGGUAUAGACCCGAAACCCGGUGAUCUAGCCAUGGGCAGGUUGAAGGUUGGGUAACACUAACUGGAGGACCGAACCGACUAAUGUUGAAAAAUUAGCGGAUGACUUGUGGCUGGGGGUGAAAGGCCAAUCAAACCGGGAGAUAGCUGGUUCUCCCCGAAAGCUAUUUAGGUAGCGCCUCGUGAACUCAUCUUCGGGGGUAGAGCACUGUUUCGGCUAGGGGGUCAUCCCGACUUACCAACCCGAUGCAAACUACGAAUACCGAAGAAUGUUAUCACGGGAGACACACGGCGGGUGCUAACGUCCGUCGUGAAGAGGGAAACAACCCAGACCGCCAGCUAAGGUCCCAAAGUCAUGGUUAAGUGGGAAACGAUGUGGGAAGGCACAGACAGCCAGGAUGUUGGCUUAGAAGCAGCCAUCAUUUAAAGAAAGCGUAAUAGCUCACUGGUCGAGUCGGCCUGCGCGGAAGAUGUAACGGGGCUAAACCAUGCACCGAAGCUGCGGCAGCGACACUAUGUGUUGUUGGGUAGGGGAGCGUUCUGUAAGCCUGCGAAGGUGACCUGUGAGGGUUGCUGGAGGUAUCAGAAGUGCGAAUGCUGACAUAAGUAACGAUAAAGCGGGUGAAAAGCCCGCUCGCCGGAAGACCAAGGGUUCCUGUCCAACGUUAAUCGGGGCAGGGUGAGUCGACCCCUAAGGCGAGGCCGAAAGGCGUAGUCGAUGGGAAACAGGUUAAUAUUCCUGUACUUGGUGUUACUGCGAAGGGGGGACGGAGAAGGCUAUGUUAGCCGGGCGACGGUUGUCCCGGUUUAAGCAUGUAGGCUGAUUGUCCAGGCAAAUCCGGAUAAUCAAGGCUGAGGUGUGAUGACGAGGCACUACGGUGCUGAAGUAACAAAUGCCCUGCUUCCAGGAAAAGCCUCUAAGCAUCAGGUAACAUCAAAUCGUACCCCAAACCGACACAGGUGGUCAGGUAGAGAAUACCAAGGCGCUUGAGAGAACUCGGGUGAAGGAACUAGGCAAAAUGGUGCCGUAACUUCGGGAGAAGGCACGCUGGUGUGUAGGUGAAGUCCCUGCGGAUGGAGCUGAGACCAGUCGAAGAUACCAGCUGGCUGCAACUGUUUAUUAAAAACACAGCACUGUGCAAACACGAAAGUGGACGUAUACGGUGUGACGCCUGCCCGGUGCCGGAAGGUUAAUUGAUGGGGUUAUCCGUAAGGAGAAGCUCUUGAUCGAAGCCCCGGUAAACGGCGGCCGUAACUAUAACGGUCCUAAGGUAGCGAAAUUCCUUGUCGGGUAAGUUCCGACCUGCACGAAUGGCGUAAUGAUGGCCAGGCUGUCUCCACCCGAGACUCAGUGAAAUUGAACUCGCUGUGAAGAUGCAGUGUACCCGCGGCAAGACGGAAAGACCCCGUGAACCUUUACUAUAGCUUGACACUGAACAUUGAGCCUUGAUGUGUAGGAUAGGUGGGAGGCUUUGAAGCGUGGACGCCAGUCUGCGUGGAGCCAACCUUGAAAUACCACCCUUUAAUGUUUGAUGUUCUAACGUUGGCCCCUGACCGGGGUUGCGGACAGUGUCUGGUGGGUAGUUUGACUGGGGCGGUCUCCUCCCAAAGCGUAACGGAGGAGCACGAAGGUUAGCUAAUCCUGGUCGGACAUCAGGAGGUUAGUGCAAUGGCAUAAGCUAGCUUGACUGCGAGCGUGACGGCGCGAGCAGGUGCGAAAGCAGGUCAUAGUGAUCCGGUGGUUCUGAAUGGAAGGGCCAUCGCUCAACGGAUAAAAGGUACUCCGGGGAUAACAGGCUGAUACCGCCCAAGAGUUCAUAUCGACGGCGGUGUUUGGCACCUCGAUGUCGGCUCAUCACAUCCUGGGGCUGAAGUAGGUCCCAAGGGUAUGGCUGUUCGCCAUUUAAAGUGGUACGCGAGCUGGGUUUAGAACGUCGUGAGACAGUUCGGUCCCUAUCUGCCGUGGGCGCUGGAGAAUUGAGGGGGGCUGCUCCUAGUACGAGAGGACCGGAGUGGACGCAUCACUGGUGUUCGGGUUGUCAUGCCAAUGGCACUGCCCGGUAGCUAAAUGCGGAAGAGAUAAGUGCUGAAAGCAUCUAAGCACGAAACUUGCCCCGAGAUGAGUUCUCCCUGAGACUUUAAGUCUCCUGAAGGAACGUUGAAGACGACGACGUUGAUAGGCCGGGUGUGUAAGCGCAGCGAUGCGUUGAGCUAACCGGUACUAAUGAACCGUGAGGCUUAACCUU
rnacentral:rRNA from 1 species